UAUAAGUUUUAUAGGUCGAGACCCACAAAAUGACAUUCUAAGACUUUGUAUAUGGAUAAGACGUAGACUAUAACAUUGAAAGACCAGCUAGAACGCAAGUCCAUUCAAUCCAACGAAAUCGUUGAGAGUUAUCAUAGUCUACAAAAGUGCACAGGUGGUUAAGAAGAAUUUUGAAGAGCGUGCACAUACUCCUAAGAGUCAGCGACAACUCCCCAGUAAUUCAGUAAUGAUCCUUCCGCAGGUUCACCUACGGAAA
rnacentral:misc_RNA from 1 species